UAUGAUGUCUGAUUUAUAAAUUUAGGCCCGUAAUCCUGUCACCUUAGGUCGAUCGGUACCUCAGAUUAUUAACUGUGAAAUUGAGAAAUCAUUUAUCAUUAGUCUUUUAAUUUCAGUUCCUAAACUUGUCUAGGUCACACCUAACAAACUUUCUCCUGGGCUAUUAGCUCAGGCGGUUAGAGCGCACCCCUGAUAAGGGUGAGGUCCCUGGUUCAAGUCCAGGAUGGCCCAUUCGUUGUUGGGGGUAUAGCUCAGUUGGUAGAGCGCCUGCUUUGCAAGCAGGAUGUCAGCGGUUCGAGUCCGCUUACCUCCACUGAUCAACUACCUGAUAACUCAAAUUGGAGAUUGUUAUUUGUUAAAUGUGAUUUAGAGUUGUUCAACUGAAGGAACCUAGCUUCCUAUCACUCCUGAAUUAACUUUAGGCUGAUAAGACGCUGGGCUCACUGGAUGUUCUAAGGGAUAUUCAGUUUGUUUCAGCAGAACCUUGACAACUGCAUAGGAAAAUCUAGAAAAAUAAAGCAUCUCAUAGAUGCAUAGAAGUUUUUCAUUUUUUAAUGAUUAGACUUUUAUGUUCAAUUCUUGAGUUAGAGCAAAUUUUCUAUUACUUAAUUCACUUAAGGUUAAGUGAUGAC
rnacentral:tRNA from 1 species